AGGAUGAACGCUAGCGACAGGCCUAACACAUGCAAGUCGAGGGGCAGCACAAGGAGCAAUCUGAGGUGGCGACCGGCGCACGGGUGAGUAACACGUAUGCAACCUGCCUGUAAGCGGGGAAUAACCCGUUGAAAGACGGACUAAUACCGCAUAAUACUAAAUUACUGCAUGGUAAUUUAUUUAAACAUUUAUGGCUUACAGAUGGGCAUGCGCAUGAUUAGCUAGUUGGAGAGGUAACGGCUCCCCAAGGCAACGAUCAUUAGGGGUUCUGAGAGGAAGGUCCCCCACACUGGUACUGAGGCACGGACCAGACUCCUACGGGAGGCAGCAGUGAGGAAUAUUGGUCAAUGGACGGGAGUCUGAACCAGCCAAGUCGCGUGCAGGAAGAAUGUCCUAAUGGAUUGUAAACUGCUUUUGCAGGGGAAUAAAGUGCAUCACGUGUGAUGUUUUGUAUGUACUCUGCGAAUAAGGAUCGGCUAACUCCGUGCCAGCAGCGGC
rnacentral:rRNA from 1 species